UUCUCAUAUAUUACAUCCCUGAAUGCAUCUAGUUUCAUCUGACCUUAGAAGCUAAGCAGAGUCAGGCCUGGCUAGUACUUGAAUGGGAGACUCCAAUCUUUCUAAGCUGUUUGAAGAA
rnacentral:rRNA from 1 species